rnacentral:misc_RNA from 1 species
AAGGAUAUAACGGAAACGUACUGUGUUGGUUGUUCAGUUUUGAGAGAUCAAACGAUCUUUCAACUUGUGAACCUUGAAAACUGGAUAAGGAAUCAUUGUUUCAUCUAACGAUGAGGCAAUUGAUGACAAGACAUCUAAUUGAAAUUGUAAACGUCUUUUCACGAAGAUAG